GGUAACCACAUGACUUUGUGCAAUAAAAGAGGCUAGGCUUCGAGUCCAAUGGAUAUCAUAGGAACAAAAAGGGAACCUCAUCCCCUUCAUGCUAGAAAAUCAAACCUACAUCUCCUUCUGUCCAAAAUCAUCGCUCCGACCAUAAUCAAACCUCCGCCGCGCGCCGAAGCUCAUCACCGGCGGCGACAAAGCUUAAUCCACAACAGAAAUCACGAGUUCUCACUCGCUUCCCGCUUCUCCUUUCGAAUCUCCACUAAAAAAGAAAACACCAAUUGGUUCGAAUGGAAACAUGAUUGAUACUUCUGAAGGUGUCUCUCAGGAAAAUAAAACACUGCAAUUUGAGGUCUAUGUUGAGGUGGUGUGAUGGACUUUGGGACACAAAUCACACUAUGAGGCAUAAUGGCUCUGCAUUUCCUUAUAAUUUUUUUUCUUUUUCCGCAACUGUACUACUGCUGCUUGUUCCCUCUUGUUGUUGCUUUUUCCUGUACUUUAUUUUGAAUCACAUUGCCUUGUUCUUGGACUAUAAUGGGCAUUUGCAUUGUAACUUGUAAUGGGCCAAUAAAAUGUAAUUUGUGUGGUUUUUUCA